CCUCACCACGCUUGCGCGCCGCCUGCCCAAGGCCUCCGACAUUGCGGAGCGGUGCUCAGGCCCACCUGCAUGAUCUCCGCGAGUCCCCGCAACGACCCUGCCACGAGAGUGUCACCACAGUGACGGGAAGCCCACCGUGGACAAGGCAAACCGUCCCCCUUAGACAUAGGCCAGUUUGCAUGGCGAUCGAGUACGCACUCCGGAGCCAGACCGCCUGGGUUACCGUCCUGGCCUUGCCCGUCGCCGGUGGCAUAAGCCUGUGCAAGUUACUAACCUCGCUGAGGAGCAUUUCACUCAUCUGUAAAUGGGGGGUAAUGAUGCUGGCCACCGCAUAGGAUUAUACAAGCGACACCGGUGAAGUGCUGCAGAACCGUGCCCAGGCUGCCGUGAGUGCAUGCCGUUCUCUCUAGCAGCUCUGCGAGGUGGCCAUUCCUGCUCAAGAGGGAACUUAAGCCCGAAGAAGUUCAAUGAUUCAUGCGAGAAGAAGUAACUGGGCAGCAGUCACAGCAGGUGGGUUCUUCCUGCAAAGCUGAUACUUUUCCUACAGAACUUCCAUGCCUGGGGUUCAGAGAUGUGCAGCAACAUGUCCAUAUAACACAGGGGAUGAGAAAUUGUCUAGAACACAGAUCUUUUUUUUUUUCUCCCCACAGCUGCUGUAGGGGUCUACCCAGGUAUGACAGCUGCAUCUUAAGGUCAAAACUGUUGAACAGUAAGUUAAUUUGAUUAAAUGGGAUGACUUCAAAGCUCAUUGCUUAGAUCCUGGGGCUAAAUAGAAAUUGAUGCCUCCAAACGCAGGGGUAGUAAGCCACCAGUUAUUUGAAUGGGUGGUACAGGCUAUUCAUUUGUUCAUGAAAUAUGCUUUAAGAUUCUCCAAACACUCAUAAAAUCAACAUAAUCAACAGUUCCCCAAGGCCAAGCUGGUUUGGGUGACCCUCCCUUCUGGUUUGUCUUAUAAAAUGCUUUAUUUAUGUGCUACAAGGGCCCCACUUCAAAGUCUCAGUGGUUCCAAUGGUAAUGAGUGAAUAAUCCAGUUGAGCAAGUAAUCAAAGAACAAUAACAAUUGUUCUAACCAUAAAGCCCCCAGUUUGCAAUUACUUAGCAGUUUAAAUUCACUUCAUUUAGAAAAUUUUGCCUCUGAGGCAGGCUGAGACUCUCAUUCAGAGGCCAAUUAGAUUAAAUUAGGAGUGACACGUUAGCUGGGGAGACUUAAUUCAUUUUGGGUUAUUUGUAGCUUUAAUUAUAAUCCAGACACAGCCAGAGCCACAUUUUGGAACAUUUUCUUGCCUCUGUGGGUGCUGGAGGUGAUUGGAUCCCUGGGAGAGAUGUUCCAGGUGGCAUGUGGCCAGCCAAGUGACCGAAGGCUGCUUUGUCAUCAGACUCUGCUCUAGACCUAUUCUCCCAGCUGCUGUUGAAGACUCACAGGAAGUGAGCUUGUCUACAAGAUCUUCCUUUUUAAAAAGUAGCUUUAUUAAGAUAUAAUUAACAAAACAAACACAUUUAAAAUACACAAUUUGGUAAGUUUGACACAUGUAUAUACCUGUUUAAUUAUUCUCACAAUCAAACUAAAUAAACAUAUCCGUUGCUCUCCUAAAUUGCCCCAUAUCCCUUUGUAAUCUCUCCUACCUCGACCCCACACACUCAGGCAAACACUGGUCUGUUUUUUGUCACAGUAAUUUGUAUUUUCCAGGAUUUCACAUAAACAGAAUCAUACGAUAGGUACUCUUGUUCUUUCACACAGCAUGAUUACUUUGACAUUUGCCUAAGUUGUUUCUAGUAUCAAUAAUUGAUCCUUUUUUAUUGUUCCAUAGCAUUCCAUUGAAUUGAUAUACCACACUGUCUCUCUAUUCAGAUGUUGAGAAAUGUGGGCUGUUCCAGGUUGGGGUUGUUACAGACAAAGACGCUACACAAUUUAUGUGCAUAUGUUUUCAUUUCUCUCGGCAAAAUACAUAGGAAUAGAAUGGCUGGCUCAUAUGAUAGCUAUAUGGUUUGUUUUUCAGAAGCCACCAAACUGUUUUCCAAGCCAUUGUACCAUUUUACAUUGCCAUCAGCAUUGUAUGGAAAGUUCCAAUUGAUCUGCAUUCUCACCAGCACUUGCUAUAGUUAAUCAUUUAAAUUUUGCUUCUUCUUUUUUUUUUCUUUUGAGAGAGAAGGGGGGAGGGGCAAGAAGAAGAGAGAGAGAGAGAGAGAGAGAGAGAGAGAGAGAGAGAGAGAAGCUUAAGCAGGCUUCACGUUCAGCACAGAGCCCGACGCAGGGCUUGAUCCCACAAUCCUGGGGUCACAACCUGAGGCAAAAUCAAGAGUCAGAUGUUCAACUGGCUGAGCCAUCAGGGCGCCCCUCAAUUGUAGUCAUUCUAAUAGUGGUAUCUCAUUGUAAUUUUAACUUGCAUUUCAAUUAUGACAAUGAUAUUGAAUAUCUAUCUUUUCAUAUGCUUAUUUGUCAACAUGUGUCUUCCUCUCCCAAGUGUCUGCUCAAAUCUCUUGCUCAUUUUUAAAAUUUAGCUGUGUUCUUACUGAAUUUUGAAAGUUCUUUACAUAUUAUGCAUACAAGUGUUUUUAUCAAAUAUAUGAUUUGCAAAUAUUUUCUCCCAGA